rnacentral:rRNA from 1 species
UGGGAACGUACCCUUCGGCGGGGGAUAGCCGGCCCAACGGCCGGGGUAAUACCGCGUACGACCACUUGGGGGACAUCCCCGGGUGGUGAAAGCAGCAAUGCGCCGAUGGAGUGCCUCGCGGCCUAUCAGCUAGUUGGUGAGGUAACGGCUCACCAAGGCGACGACGGGUAGCUGGUCUGAGAGGAUGGCCAGCCACAUUGGGACUGAGACACGGCCCAGACCUCCUACGGGAGGCGAG